rnacentral:rRNA from 1 species
UACGUAGGGUCCGAGCGUUGUCCGGAUUUAUUGGGCGUAAAGAGCUCGUAGGCGGUUUCGUAAGUCGGAUGUGAAAAACUCAGGGCUCAACCCGGAGACGCCAUCUGAUACUGCGAUGACUUGAGUCUGGUAGGGGAUCACGGAAUUCCUGGUGUAGCGGUGAAAUGCGCAGAUAUCAGGAGGAACACCGAUGGCGAAGGCAGUGAUCUGGGCCAGUACUGACGCUGAGGAGCGAAAGCGUGGGGAGCAAACAGG